rnacentral:rRNA from 1 species
ACGCUGGCGGCGUGCUUAGCACAUGCAAGUCGAGCGGUAAGGCCCUUUCGGGGGUACACGAGCGGCGAACGGGUGAGUAACACGUGGGUGACCUGCCCUCAGCUCUGGGAUAAGCCUGGGAAACCGGGUCUAAUACCGGAUAUGACUCCAUGACGCAUGUUGUGGGGUGGAAAGCCUUGUGCGGCUGAGGAUGGGCCCGCGGCCUAUCAGCUUGUUGGUGGGGUGAUGGCCUACCAAGGCGACGACGGGUAGCCGGCCUGAGAGGGCGACCGGCCACACUGGGACUGAGACACGGCCCAGACUCCUACGGGAGGCAGCAGUGGGGAAUCUUGCGCAAUGGGCGAAAGCCUGACGCAGCGACGCCGCGUGAGGGAUGACGGCCU